UGGGGGAUAUUGCGCAAUGGGGGAAACCCUGACGCAGCAACGCCGCGUGAAGGAAGAAGGUCUUCGGAUUGUAAACUUUUGUCUUUUGGGAAGAAUAAUGACGGUACCAAAGGAGGAAGCCACGGCUAACUACGUGCCAGCAGCCGCGGUAAUACGUAGGUGGCGAGCGUUGUCCGGAAUUACUGGGUGUAAAGGGCGUGUAGGCGGGUAAUCAAGUCAGAUGUGAAAUACCGAGGCUCAACCUCGGGGCUGCAUUUGAAACUGAUUAUCUUGAGUGCAGGAGAGGCAAGCGGAAUUCCUAGUGUAGCGGUGAAAUGCGUAGAUAUUAGGAGGAACACCAGUGGCGAAGGCGGCUUUCUGGACUGUAACUGACGCUGAGGCGCGAAAGCGUGGGGAGCAAACAGG
rnacentral:rRNA from 2 species